UAACUGUCUAAAAUGUGCUAAAUGCUCUGCAGUUGCGCAUUUGGUUUGCUAAUUUAGUAGCUAAUUAGCUGUCUAUCCAAGUGGUUAGCUUCUUCCUAAAUCAUGCAUUUGCUUGAUUUAGCAUUUUUGAGUUACUUGCGUAGUUUAGGUCAGAAACUGUACAAAACGUUUGCAAUGCGCUCAUUAGCAUUUAGUUAGUAUUUUCUAUGAGGAUUCCUUAAUACUUGUUAGCAUUUUGCUAGCAUUCUGGACCUGAGCCCUAGGACCAUGCCUCAGGACUACCUGGCAUGAUGACUCCUUGCUGUCCCCAGUCCACCUGGCCAUGCUGCUGCUCCAGUUUCAACUGUUCUGCCUGCGGCUAUGGAACCCUGACCUGUUCACCGGAUGUGCUUGUUGCACCCUCGACAACUACUAUGAUUAUUAUUAUUUGACCAUGCUGGUCAUUUAUGAACAUUUUAACAUCUUGACCAUGUUCUGUUAUAAUAUCCACCCUGCACAGCCAGAAGAGGACUUGCCACCCCUCAUAGCCUGGUUCCUCUCUAGGUUUCUUCCUAGGUUUUUGGCCUUUCUAGGGAGUUUUUCCUAGGGAGUUUUUCCUAGCCACCGUGCUUCUUUCACAUGCUUUGCUUGCUGUUUGGGGUUUUAGGCUGGGUUUCUGUACAGCACUUUGAGAAUAUCAGCUGAUGUACGAAGGGCUAUAUAAAAAUAAAUUUGAUUUGAUUUGAUUUUGAAGUUGCACUGGAUAAGAGUGUCUGCUAAAUGACUAAAAUGUAGAUUUUAAGGAGAGAAAUUGUAGACAGGCUUU
rnacentral:lncRNA from 1 species